CUUGAAACUGAUUCAGUUUCUGCCCAUAUCAGAGUCCUUUCAUGGAGCCAUUCCUAUUCAAAAUAAAGUGCUUUAAGAAAAGCACCGUGGUGGGGUUUAAAGUAAUCCAAAAAGUAUGGGGUGGCUUAGAAUUUUUGUUACAGCUAAAAGGGCCAAAUUCAGGACAGGAGGAGAACAGAAAUUAUGCUUCUCUGUACAUACUAAGCCUUUUUUGACCUAAGGCAUUUAUCCCAAAGAACAGGAGGCUUUACCAUCUCUCACAGGGUUUGCGGUAAGGGUGGUACUUCUCUACUUCCCACCAAGAUUUGCUUCGUUACAAGGUAUCACUCAAAAUUAUUCUGAAUUAACUCUCUCUCUGGGAAUGGUCUCUCUCAUGAUAGCCACAGUCAUUUCUUGAUGUCUAAAAUAUAGUUCUGAAAAUAUUGUCCAUUUAUUACCUCAGUACCAGCAGUUGUAUUCAGAUAUAACUGUCCCUUAAGUCAUGAAAACUGUUUUUUUCUAAUACCAAACCAAACACAGAUGUAGUUGUCAGAAAUGUAGAGUGUUCAUGAAUGGUGUUUAUCCUGUAAGUGACAGCCAGGCAUAUGUUAGAAAAUUAUUUACUUAAAUUACAAGAUUGUCAAGGGGCCAAGCAAGAGCUAUUAAGAAAAAUGCCAUUGUUCUGGGCACCACACACAAAGAGUAGCAGAGGAGACAUCUAGGCUGCAGAACUCAGAAGCUCUUCCAAGUCCUAUCUCUGGGAGCAGGCAGUGGCUGCGUCCUCACUGCCCAGUGGACUCCAGUUUGGGGAGGUCCUCCAGCUGAAAGGUGGGACUGCUCUACAAAACAUCAGGCAUGGACUUCGCAUAGGCCCUAAGAGUGCCACAUUGUGCACUUACUGGCUGAACACAUGGAAAAGUUAUGUGAAUGCUUCACCUGGCAGCCAGCUUGAAACUCCAGCACAAGGAACCACUGUGACUUCAUUUGGACUUCAAAGGGAAAUGCCACAGUUCUGCUGAACAAAUGCUCGAGAGUGCUGAGAGGCAGCAGUGAAGAGGAAACAUUCAGGAUUUAUAAAAACAGGUGCCUGGGGCAGCUAUGGAAAACACAAGUAACAGAGUUCUACAGAGACUACAGGAUAAGGCCUGGAGGAAAAAUGACUCAUUGGCUGGACACAGGACAUCACUUUUCACCUUAUCACUCCUGCUAUUCUUCUGUGCAGGUAUCUAGCCCUGCAUAUAAACCAUCUGCACUCCUUCGUCCACAUGCAAUUAAAAAGAGAUGGAUUAGCUCAGAAAUCUUGCCUAAAAUGCUGAAUGUAUCUUCCUUAAAAUCUUUUUCUUAGUCUAGCUUCCAGGAAUGCUUUCCUCAUUGUCUAUAAGGGAUAUGUUUUUCCUUUCUUCUGUCCUUAACUUCUGAAGAUAUUGGCUGAGAUAUGGUACUCCUUGAAGUUUCAUGAAAACAUGUCAGAUUCUACAGGAUAACCUUUAUUAUACACAAGGGAAUCCAUACAUGAGGACACUGUAUGAUUAAAUCUGCACCGGGACUUGCAUCUCAGCACAGAAGAAUCUAAGGACAAGACAAACUUGUAAGAAAGGAAGCAUACAAAGUUUUUACACCCAGAGAACUGUGUCUUGAAUCUGGAAGCUAGCUGAAGUAGAAGAACUUUGAAGAAAGCAAGCAAAUUAAAGUGUUGAAUAUCAAAAGAACAAAUACAAUGGGAUUUUCAAGAGUUCAGAAUGUUAGAAAAUUCCUAUGAACUGCAGUAAGAUCAAUAGAAUCUGUGUCAAAUAGUUCUGAAACCCCAGCCUAGACUCCUUUGCCCAGCUUGUGUAUUGCAGCUCCUAGAAGUGAAUGAAGAAAAGUUCUUUUCUGUAGAUAUCUCCACCCAUCUUAGUCAUGCAGUAUGAGUAAAGAUAACUAUAGCUAAAAGUAAAUAAGGCCAUCUGAUAAGCCUAUGUAUGACAGGAAUUUUUAAACAUUGGAAUGGUGGCCUCACAAUGUCAAUUUGGAGAGUCUGACUCUGUCUAAC
rnacentral:lncRNA from 1 species